AGUGAACGCUGGCGGUAGGCCUAACACAUGCAAGUCGAACGGCAGCACAGUAAGAGCUUGCUCUUACGGGUGGCGAGUGGCGGACGGGUGAGGAAUACAUCGGCAUCUACUUUUUCGUGGGGGAUAACGUAGGGAAACUUACGCUAAUACCGCAUACGACCUACGGGUGAAAGCAGGGGAUCUUCGGACCUUGCGCGAUUGAAUGAGCCGAUGUCGGAUUAGCUAGUUGGCGUGGUAAAGGCCCACCAAGGCGACGAUCCGUAGCUGGUCUGAGAGGAUGAUCAGCCACACUGGAACUGAGACACGGUCCAGACUCCUACGGGAGGCAGCAGUGGGGAAUAUUGGACAAUGGGCGCAAGCCUGAUCCAGCCAUACCGCGUGGGUGAAGAAGGCCUUCGGGUUGUAAAGCCCUUUUGUUGGGAAAGAAAAGCAGCAGGUUAAUACCCCGCUGUUCUGACGGUACCCAAAGAAUAAGCACCGGCUAACUUCGUG
rnacentral:rRNA from 1 species